rnacentral:rRNA from 1 species
AGCUUGACUGCGAGCGUGACGGCGCGAGCAGGUGCGAAAGCAGGUCAUAGUGAUCCGGUGGUUCUGAAUGGAAGGGCCAUCGCUCAACGGAUAAAAGGUACUCCGGGGAUAACAGGCUGAUACCGCCCAAGAGUUCAUAUCGACGGCGGUGUUUGGCACCUCGAUGUCGGCUCAUCACAUCCUGGGGCUGAAGUAGGUCCCAAGGGUAUGGCUGUUCGCCAUUUAAAGUGGUACGCGAGCUGGGUUUAGAACGUCGUGAGACAGUUCGGUCCCUAUCUGCCGUGGGCGCUGGAGAACUGAGGGGGGCUGCUCCUAGUACGAGAGGACCGGAGUGGACGCAUCACUGGUGUUCGGGUUGUCAUGCCAAUGGCACUGCCCGGUAGCUAAAUGCGGAAGAGAUAAGUGCUGAAAGCAUCUAAGCACGAAACUUGCCCCGAGAUGAGUUCUCCCUGAUACUUUAGGUCUUCUGAAGGAACUUGGAAGACGACGACGUUGAUAGGCCGGGUGUGGAAGCGCAGCGAUGCGUUUAGCUAUUCGUUACAAAGGAACCGUGACACCUAACCUU